UACGUAGGGGGCUAGCGUUGUCCGGAUUUAUUGGGCGUAAAGAGCGUGUAGGCGGCCAGGUAGGUCGGUUGUGAAAACUGGAGGCUCAACCUUCAGAGGUCGACCGAAACCAUCUGGCUAGAGUCCGGGAGAGGAGAGUGGAAUUCCUGGUGUAGAGGUGAAAUUCGUAGAUAUUAGGAAGAACACCAGUGGCGAAGGCGGCUCACUGGUCCGGUACUGACGCUGAGGUGCGAAAGCGUGGGGAGCAAACAGG
rnacentral:rRNA from 1 species